rnacentral:rRNA from 1 species
GCAACGCGAAGAACCUUACCAGGUCUUGACAUCCGAUGCUAUUCUAGAGAUAGAAAGUUACUUCGGUACAUCGGUGACAGGUGGUGCAUGGUUGUCGUCAGCUCGUGUCGUGAGAUGUUGGGUUAAGUCCCGCAACGAGCGCAACCCCUAUUGUUAGUUGCCAUCAUUCAGUUGGGCACUCUAGCGAGACUGCCGGUAAUAAACCGGAGGAAGGUGGGGAUGACGUCAAAUCAUCAUGCCCCUUAUGACCUGGGCUACACACGUGCUACAAUGGUUGGUACAACGAGUUGCGAGUCGGUGACGGCGAGCUAAUCUCUUAAAGCCAAUCUCAGUUCGGAUUGUAGGCUGCAACUCGCCUACAUGAAGUCGGAAUCGCUAGUAAUCGCGGAUCAGCACGCCGCGGUGAAUACGUUCCCGGGCCUU